UUGAAACACCAGUUCUCAUAUGAUCCCCAAAGUUAAGCAAUGUCAAGCCUAGUCAGUACCUAGAUGGGUGACCAUUUGGAAAUACCAGAUGCUGUAAG